GCAAGCACUUUCAUUGGCAAAAAGCAAAGCUUUUAAAGCCAGCCCGGUCAUUGAAUUGGUAAAAACAAAAGGUUAAGAGUUUAAAAUUCAACCAAUAUCGAACCGAGAUUUAACUGGUAUAUUAUUAAACAAAUAUUAAUUAUAAUUUAUACAAUUAAUAAUACAUUACGAUCAUUAAUUUAAUAUAUUUUUAUAUAAUGAUUAAAAUUAUUUUAAAA
rnacentral:misc_RNA from 1 species